UACGUAGGGAGCAAGCGUUGUUCGGAUUUACUGGGCGUAAAGGGCGCGUAGGCGGCAAAUUAAGUCAGCUGUGAAAUCUCCGAGCUUAACUCGGAACGGUCAGCUGAUACUGAUCUGCUAGAGUGCGGAAGGGGCAAUCGGGAAUUCUUGGUGUAGCGGUGAAAUGCGUAGAUAUCGAGAGGAACACCAGUGGCGAAGGCGAGUCUCUGGACGACUCCUGACACUGAGGCACGAAAGCGUGGGGAGCAAACAGG
rnacentral:rRNA from 1 species